rnacentral:rRNA from 1 species
CCUACGGGUGGCUGCAGUGGGGAAUAUUGCACAAUGGGGGAAACCCUGAUGCAGCGACGCCGCGUGAGUGAAGACGUAUUUCGGUAUGUAAAGCUCUAUCAGCAGGGAAGAUAAUGAAGGUACCUGAUCAAGAAGCCACGGCCAAAUACGUGCCAGCAGCCGCGGUAAUACGUAGGGGGCAAGCGUUAUCCGGAUUUACUGGGUGUAAAGGGUGCGUAGAUGGGAGGGCAAGUCAGAUGUGAAAGCCCGGGGCUCAAACCCGGAACUGCAUUUGAAACUGUCCAGCUGGAGUGCAGGAGAGGUAAGCGGAAUUCGUAGUGUAGCGGUGAAAUGCGUAGAUAUUAGGAGGAACACCAGUGGCGAAGGCGGCUUACUGGACUGUAACUGACACUGAGGCACGAAAGCGUGGGGAGCAAACAGGAUUAGAUACCCUUGUAGUC